UAACCUAGUUCUUGCUACUCUUCCUCCAGUACUGCGACGGCCGCGCCCCCAUUCCCAGAUCCCGCACCCCGCCUGCCCCCGCCCUCCACUUCCAUCUCCGGUCGCGCCCCCUUCUCCGGCGGUGCCAGUCCCGCAAUCCCCUCGCCGCCGCUCGCCCUCGUGCCUUGCCCGUGCGUGCCGCCCCCUCUCGAGCCGCCGCCGCCCCUCCGCAUCCGCCGCAUCCCGCCGCCGCCCCUCCUUCCUAGCUGCUUGCAAGGGGCCGAGGGUGCAAGGGCGCCACACGCCACGCACACGUACCACGCUCCGUCCUCAUCCGCCUCCCUCUCCGCCAGUUAGCCCACGCGCAGCUCGUGUGUAGGCGGUGGCGCGACCUCACCACGGAUCCACGGCUUCCUCCGCAGCACCGCCUCGCAGGACGCUGCCGAGUUCUUCGUCAACGACCUCCUCAAUGUCUGGGCCGACCUCGUCCCCUUCCGCCUGGGCUGCUCGGCCGUCGAAGAGGGCGACGAGGACAGCCGCGCCCCGGACCUCCCCUUCAUCCCUAGCGCCGCCUGCCCGGGAACCCACAACACGGCGGUGUCCGCGACGUUCAUGUCUUCGGCUCCUACAACGGGCUCCUGCUCCUCUGGUGCCCGAUCCACCACCCAGUGGGGGCACUGCGCCUGCAACCCGCACGUUCUGGAACGGGAGCUACUUCAGGUCCUAUCCUCCUCCCUUCUGUGCCCCAACUGCUUGCUGAAAUCCCUUGCUAGGAUAGAAAGGAUAUUAUUUUGUGAAUCUGUACACCAACUAUAGAGUAAUGUACAUUAUUUUUUAAGAUUUAUUCAAGUGCUAGCGACAUGAACAUCACUAGUAAUUGUAGAUAGCUUGAAGUGAGUUAGCAGGUUCAGAUUUGAGCACAGUAUGGGUGCGAGAUAUGCGUGCUCUUGUUUAUUUUGAGUUUGACAAAAAAGGUAGUAUAUUAUACAAAUGAUUUCCCCCUCCAUUAUACGGAUCUAUCUCCAAUCUGUGUGUGUGCCUGUUUGAUAUCUCGGCUUUGUCUUUUUCAGUUCAUAUGUUUCCUGAGAUGGACAAAGCACAAAUUAAUGUUACAGAAAGUGGUUUACUUGAUCCUAAAUAGAAAAUCCCUCAGCUGAAUAUGGUCAUUCCACAUAUCAUAUACAUAAAAGGAUUAUUUGUAUCAUGGACUUUGUUAGAGAUCUCGACCUCGGCCUUUACUACUAUGAAUAAAUAAACAUUUGCAAUCCUGUUUAGGUGUCGCAUAUAUUUGUGUCAAAACAAGGUUUUAUCAUAUGAUUUGUUUUGUUCAGUAAAGCAUAGGUAUAUGCAUGGUGGUCACGGUGGCAGACACAGGAUUCAGAGAGUAAUCACAACACUCAGUUCUUACUUAGCAAGGUGAUUUAAAGGGUUAAAGAACUGCCAGUUAGAAUAGAAGAGAAGCCUCGCAGAGAAGAAAUCAUUGGUAGCCAAAUGUGCUGCCACAACUGAUAGGUGGUGCAAAAGAAUUCUUUGCUUCCUUAGUUGUUGCUGGUGGUUCAUACUCUUGAUGAAAUCUAUUUUUUGUUGUUUCUGGUGUAUUUUGUUGUCUAUGAUCCUGCAAUGCUAGACUGCUAGUUUUGAUACAUGGAAAAAAUUGUAUUGAUCCAUUAUUCUGGUGUCAUGAUGCUGGGAUGCCAACAUUAUUGAUAUGAGGUUAUAAUUUGGGUUGUAAUUGCUUAUUGUGA